rnacentral:rRNA from 1 species
UACGUAGGGUCCGAGCGUUGUCCGGAAUUAUUGGGCGUAAAGGGCUCGUAGGCGGUUUGUCGCGUCGGGAGUGAAAACCUACAGCUUAACUGUGGGCUUGCUUUCGAUACGGGCAGACUUGAGGCAUGCAGGGGAGAACGGAAUUCCUGGUGUAGCGGUGAAAUGCGCAGAUAUCAGGAGGAACACCGGUGGCGAAGGCGGUUCCCUGGGCAUGUUCUGACGCUGAGGAGCGAAAGCGUGGGGAGCGAACAGG